rnacentral:lncRNA from 1 species
UCAAUAUAUAUAUAAUAAUAUAAUUAUAUGAUCUUAGGAAAAAAUAGCAAGGAAAAAAUGGAAGGAUUCUUUUAAAUUAAACGAGGGAUCAACAAGAAAUUGUAUUACUGUCCUUUUGGAAACGGUGCAUAAGUACUUAUUACUUCGUUUAUUUGUAAAGAAGAAUUAGGUAUAUUCAGUUGUUGAACUGGAUUUCAGUUGUUUAACGCACGAUCAAAGAAAGUUGCCAAUAGAGCACGAGUUACUUUUUGGACGCCAUCUUCAUUGUAUAUAGUAAUUUCUAUCAUGCCCACUAUGUGUUGUGCUCCAGGAUGUAGAACGGGCUUUGACAACGAGCCACAACAGUCUGGUGUUACGAUCCAUCUGUAGCCAAACAAAGAGAGGAACCCGGGACUUGAUACCGCCUUACUUCGAGCGAUUCCAAGAUAAACAGAUCUGAAGAAGACAGAUUAGGGACCAUCCAAAAGUACAAAGCUGUGUUCCCUGCAUUUCAACAAAUCUGAUUUCAUCUGUGAGUCUAAAAGAAGUCAGACCCUUGGCAAGGCUAUGAAGAAGAGGUACCUCAAACCAGUUGUAGUACCAUCCCUAUGGCCAAAUUGCCCCAACUACCUCUCAACUCCUAAAUCUUCAUCAAGGCCAACUCGAGCUGUGACCUCGUCACGUAGGGCUCAACAGUUCAAAAAAUGAAUUAUGUGGAAGAAUUUGGUGACAAAUUGGCCAAGGAGAGACUCCCAUCAAAGUUCAUCCUCAUCUCAAAACUAAGUAUUGCCCUUUUGAAGCUAUCCGAUCAUGAGAAAUUGGGCCCCAAGUAGUAGCCAGCAUCCAGUUUGAGACAGAUAUAGUAAUUCAAAAUGUUCCACUCUGGUGUGUUGAUUGACAAAAAGGCAGUGUCACAUCAGCUCAGAAGGCAAUGUCAACACUGUGAUUCAAGCCAUCAAUUUGGCUUCCUUUCUGGAAGCAAUAGAUAAACUGAAUCAAACAGAGACCUGGGAAGCCAUUUUCAACAAGUUAGUGAAGUUUCUCAACUCUUCAGAAACAAGCUAAACAAAGCUUCUAGACUCUCUUUCAUUCGUGAGCAAAUUGCUCUCCUCUUCACCAAACCAACAGCUAGAAAAUAUUCACCUUGUCUUCUUUCAACCACACUCAUGUGGGAGAAGGUUAGCUCAGGAUUAUGUGGAUGUAAAGACAACUAAGUGGAGGUAUCUACUACAUCAGCUUGAGACAGAUCCUGGAAGCAGAGAAAAAGAUUCUGAGUCUGGUCAAAUUCUCAGACAAAUAAGAUAUUUGUUAAUAGUUUGACUACCUCAGAAAUUAAAGGUCUGCUGGAUGAAGACCUGGUAAAAGCUGAGCUCAUUUUGACCAACUGGGAACCAGAUGACCUCCAGUAACUAGCUUCCAAGGGAGAGAGUAAUGAUCUCUAAUUUAUUGCCGGGUAUAUUGGUUUUUCUUUGAAGAAGAUCAGCUCUCAUAAUGCCAAGAGUUAAUUGUCAUCAGAGACACGCCUCCGGACUCAAUAACCUUCGAUAGCCCAACCAAUUAGCAUGUAGACCUGAAAGAGUUCAUCGACAUAAUGAGGUGUCGACUUUAUCCAACCUUAUCUACCUCUCCUGCCUUUAUGCUCAGUCCAUGUUCUCUUACAUCACAGCUACUCCUGAAGAGAAAGACAGCUAACAUGGCUUCAUUUAUUGCCAUAUUCAUUGACAGGAUGCCGGACAGUUUAAACUCAGACAUUAUCGCCGUUGUAGGAGUAACGUGUGAGGAAGGACACUCCUGGUCAGCUUUUCUUCAAAGAAUUUCAUUCGCUUUAUUUAAUGUCAUGGGUAAAAAUUUAAGUGCUAAACUGAAUGAGGACAUCCCAUUUUUAACA